rnacentral:lncRNA from 1 species
CUGGGAAGAAAUAUUUUUUUCAAGGAUUUCCUUUUUGUACAUUACAGUAUAAUCCAAGUGGAGUUUCUCUUGCAGUACCAUAAGAAGUGUGGUGCUGCUCAAUUGCUCUAAGUCACUAUCUAACUCUUCUGGCCCCAGUUAAAUCCUGAGUCUCCCACAUCCCUCUGCUCUUGGUACCCCUUGAAUCACAACUCAAAUGUUGAUAUUGACAGUGAUGUCCUUUCUCCCAGGCUAUUCCUGUUUCAUUCUUGCAUCAAUACCCAGUUUCCCUUUAACAAUGAGAAAGUAAUAAAUAAAAAUAUUCAUUAAAAAGAUCAAUAAUUGACCAGGCGACUGUAAUCCCAGCAGCUCAGGAGGCUGAGGCAGGAGCAUCUCGAGUUCAAAGCCAACCUCAGCAAUGGUGAGGCGCUAAGCAACUCAGUGAGACCCUCUCUCUAAUAAAAUACAAAAUUGGGCUGGGGCUAUGGCUCAAUGGUCGAGUGCCCCUGAGUUCAGUCCCCCAUACCAAAACAAAAGAAAACAAAACAACCUAAAAAGGUCAAUAAUCCCUCCAACUUGAUUAAAUACCUUGAUAUUUUUAGAAAGAUAUAAAUAUAUAUUCAAAGUGAGAAAACUUAAACGGUAUAGAAAGGGUCUCAACAAAUAAGAGCUUCUUUCAUUUCCCCCAGGUCCCAAGAUAACUAUGAGAGAUAAUUCCUUGUGGUUCUUUCUCCAAGUCUUUAUGCAUAAGUUUAUGGACAUUUAUUGAAAGGUCACAUAUUAUAUGCAAUAUUCUUUCACACAUUGAAAUUUUUUGUUUUAAUAAUAAACAAAAUAACUUUUUCUUCAUUUUUUAAAACUUAAAAUUUGUCCCAGAUACAAUUUAGAAUUCAUUCAUAAGAUCUUCUCUAUAUCAAAAUAAUUGAUUUUUU